rnacentral:rRNA from 1 species
CAUAGGUUAAUGAGGCGAACCGGGGGAACUGAAACAUCUAAGUACCCCGAGGAAAAGAAAUCAACCGAGAUUCCCCCAGUAGCGGCGAGCGAACGGGGAGGAGCCCAGAGCCUGAAUCAGUGUGUGUGUUAGUGGAAGCGUCUGGAAAGGCGCGCGAUACAGGGUGACAGCCCCGUACACAAAAAUGCACAUAUUGUGAGCUCGAUGAGUAGGGCGGGACACGUGGUAUCCUGUCUGAAUAUGGGGGGACCAUCCUCCAAGGCUAAAUACUCCUGACUGACCGAUAGUGAACCAGUACCGUGAGGGAAAGGCGAAAAGAACCCCGGCGAGGGGAGUGAAAAAGAACCUGAAACCGUGUACGUACAAGCAGUGGGAGCCUCUUAAUGGGGUGACUGCGUACCUUUUGUAUAAUGGGUCAGCGACUUAUAUUCUGUAGCAAGGUUAACCGAAUAGGGGAGCCGAAGGGAAACCGAGUCUUAACUGGGCGUUAAGUUGCAGGGUAUAGACCCGAAACCCGGUGAUCUAGCCAUGGGCAGGUUGAAGGUUGGGUAACACUAACUGGAGGACCGAACCGACUAAUGUUGAAAAAUUAGCGGAUGACUUGUGGCUGGGGGUGAAAGGCCAAUCAAACCGGGAGAUAGCUGGUUCUCCCCGAAAGCUAUUUAGGUAGCGCCUCGUGAAUUCAUCUCCGGGGGUAGAGCACUGUUUCGGCAAGGGGGUCAUCCCGACUUACCAACCCGAUGCAAACUGCGAAUACCGGAG